AGAUUGAACGCUGGCGGCAUGCCUAACACAUGCAAGUCGAACGGGAGUAGCAAUACUCUAGUGGCGGACGGGUGAGGAAUACGUAGGAAUUUGCCCUUAAGUGGGGGAUAACCCGGGGAAACCCGGAUUAAUACCGCAUGACCUCGAAAGAGCAAAGUGGGGGAUCGCAAGACCUCACGCUUUUGGAGAGGCCUACGUCGGAUUAGCUAGUUGGUGAGGUAAUGGCUCACCAAGGCGACGAUCCGUAACUGGUCUGAGAGGAUGAUCAGUCACACCGGAACUGAGACACGGUCCGACUCCGUA
rnacentral:rRNA from 1 species